rnacentral:rRNA from 1 species
AAAACUAGCCAGUCCCAUGGGUAUGAGACCCAUUUGAACGAGAGUAGUACUAGGAUGGGUGACCUCUUGGGAAGUCCUCGUGAAAGGGUUUC